AAAACGCCCUGAGUGAUUGUAAUUGCAAAUAUUUAAUGUGACGCCUAAUACCAGCUGUAUGUAUGUCACGCUGAAAUCUGUGCUCCGCCAAUUUCUCUUCACAGGCUCUCCUCGGCCCGCGAAUACCACUGCAAUGCCCGCUCACAGCGCCGAUGAAGAAGUUCAACAGACUGAGCCCUCAUGUUCCAAUCCAGCGGGUCGACAACACAAGCCUUCUAGGUGCUCGCCCCGGACAGCCAGAAAAAUGAAGAACCUGGAGAAGAUAAAUUCAAGGCUUCGGAAGGCACUGUCAAGAAUUGGCAAGAGAAAGGUUAAAAAGCUUUCCCAGUCCGAGGCGUUGAAUGCUAUCAGGCCCUACGUCCGCAAGACAUUCUUUAGAUUGCUUGAGACUCAAGUUAAAAUUAAUGGCGUGAAACGUAGAGGACGGAGGUGGUCGCCCGAGCACCGCCAGUUCGCUUUAAACUUAUACUUUCAUGGUCCGAAAGCGUACAGACAUCUGUCAAGA